rnacentral:lncRNA from 1 species
UCAGUGCGGUUUUCACUUCAUUUCAGUCUUGUUUUAUAUCAUCACUUAGAACUUGAUAAACGGCAAACGCCCCGCCAGAAAGAAAUAAGGGGAGCACCACAUGCAGCUCGUCAACUUUUUAAAGUUUUGCUACCAGUUCCAAUUUCUGCAUCCAUUCUGAAAAAUCACCCGAACCAUCGUACUGUGACACCAAAUCCGCAAACUUUAUAACGAUACUCAUUGCCAAAAUAGCUUGUUGGUAAGUUAUCUAAAAUUGGUGGACUAAGUGUAAAAGAAGCUGUUAAAAAUAUACUAAAAAGACUCAACUUAGAAAACGUUCCUGUUAUACCGCUUCCAGCAUCCGGAUCCUCUUUCACACAGGGCCUUCUAUCACUUGUCCUAAUAUGGGAAAAAUCGUUCAUCCUUUAGAUGGAGGGAUGGCACCCCAUACAACACCAUAGAAAAAGAGAAUGUUGGGAGGAGAAGAAAAGGUGGCUUAAAAGUUGUUUACUUUAGAUUUCAAAUAUAGACAUUUUAAAAUCUAAAGAACUUUGCUAUUUU